rnacentral:rRNA from 1 species
AUUAAUAAGCGGAGGAAAAGAAAAUAACCAUGAUUCCCCUAGUAACGGCGAGCGAAGCGGGAAAAGCCCAGACCAAAAUCUGCGGGUCUUUGGCCCGUCAGAGAUGUGGUCUUUGCGCCGGGGAUAUGCCAGCGGUGCCAGCCUUCUCAAGUUUCUUGGAAAGGGGCCUCCCAGAGAGGGUGCUAGGCCUGUAGGUGGGGGGUUGGCUCGUUGGCGCUUCCACGGCCUUAGAGUCGGGUUGUUUGGGAAUGCAGCCCAAAGUCGGUGGUAUGCUCCAUCUAAGGCUAAAUACCAGCACGAGUCCGAUAG